rnacentral:lncRNA from 1 species
AAAAACCAAAAGGAAAGGAAAGAUGAAGGACGCAGAUGUGUCGCAGCAGAUCCAGCAGAUGAUCAGGUUCAUCCGCCAAGAGGCCGAGGAGAAAGCCAAUGAAAUAUCUGUUGCGGCGGAGGAGGGUUGUCUAUACUCUUUUUGGCCCUAACACAUACAUCAUAUAAUCAUGUUCCAGUCAGGACAUCCCCUUGUUGGUGGGGACUCGAACCAGAGAUCUUACUUAAAAAGAAUCAAUAAUGUAUCAUUUGAAUCAACCACACAUAUGUUUAUACAUUCAUACACAAACACACAUGCAUUUUCUUCCUAAAUAGACACAAUUGUUAUCAUCGUUUGUGCUACAUUUUGCAGCAUAUUAUAGUAAUAAAUAACAAUAUCAAUGCAAUGGUGAGUUACCCUUAUGAAAUUUGACUAAUUAUCACUCAUUAUUUCAUAAGUAGGAGUUCAAUAUUGAGAAACUUCAAUUACUUGAAGCUGAGAAGAGAAAGAUCAGACAAGAGUACGAGCGAAAAGCCAAACAAAUUGAUGUUCGUAGAAAG